rnacentral:rRNA from 1 species
GACGAACGCUGGCGGCGUGCUUAACACAUGCAAGUCGAACGGUAAGGCCCUUCGGGGUACACGAGUGGCGAACGGGUGAGUAACACGUGGGUGAUCUGCCCUGCACUUCGGGAUAAGCCUGGGAAACUGGGUCUAAUACCGGAUAGGACCACUGCCUGCAUGGGUGGUGGUGGAAAGCUUUUGCGGUGGGGGAGGGGCCCGCGGCCUAUCAGCCGGGUGGGGGGGUGAUGGCCUACCAAGGCGACGACGGGUGGCCGGCCUGAGAGGGUGACCGGCCACACUGGGACUGAGAUACGGCCCAGACUCCUACGGGAGGCAGCAGUGGGGAAUAUUGCACAAUGGGCGCAAGACUGAUGCAGCGACGCCGCGUGAGGGAUGAAGGCCUUCGGGUUGUAAACCUCUUUCAGCACCGACGAAGCGCAAGUGACGGUAGGUGCAGAAGAAGGACCGGCCAACUACGUGCCAGCCGCCGCCGUAA